CUGGGUUUGACAUAUACCGGAAAGCUGCAGAGAUGUAGCCUUCCUUGUGGUCGGUAUACAGGUGAUGCAUGGCUGUCGUCAGCUCGUGUCGUGAGAUGUUGGGUUAAGUCCCGUAACGAGCGCAACCCUCGUCCUAUGUUGCCAGCACGUAAUGGUGGGGACUCAUAGGAGACUGCCGGGGUCAACUCGGAGGAAGGUGGGGAUGACGUCAAGUCUUCAUGCCCCUUAUGUCCAGGGCUUCAAGCAUGCUACAAUGGCCGGUACAAAGGGCUGCGAAACCGCAAGGUGGAGCGAAUCCCAAAAAGCCGGUCUCAGUUCGGAUUGGGGUCUGCAACUCGACCCCAUGAAGUCGGAGUCGCUAGUAAUCGCAGAUCAGCAACGCUGCGGUGAAUA
rnacentral:rRNA from 1 species